UCUCACUUUGGGAGAAUUCAGUGAAUUAUCUCAUUUUUCUGGGUAAAAUGUGCUUCCUCAGAACACAUUGUGUGUCAUCUCGGAGGCCACUGCUGCUUUAGACUGAUGAUGUGGAUGCUGCUGCUGAGGGAAACUUGGGAGAACAGCUGGCAAGCAUACUGCUCCUGUACUGGCCAAUGUAAAGGAUGGCUAGAUAAUACAGGAUAAUUUAUAUGGAGGGACUUUUUCAGCACCUGAUAUUAUUGGCUGGUGGGACGGAUGACCGUUUGCAGAGAAUUGACUACACUUCCUCUGCAAGGAUAUAUUAACCAGCAUGUGCACUCCAGAGGCUCCAGCCCCAUACGAUCUUCCCUCUGAUAGAGAGUCUCUCGACAGAUGAGCCAGAGCACUGGCUUCUGGGGACUCCAGCCUUGUACUCACAGCUUUCAAAACCCUUCAGGGUGACAAAGCUGUAGGAGCAGGGCACCCCAGCAGUAACCCUACUCACUGCACUUUUCAGGCCACGAGGUUGAGCCAUUUACAGAUCUCUGCACAAAUGCAAAGAAAAUGAUUGUUACCCAUCUGGUGAUCUGCGAGUCAUCUAUCUAUCUGUCUGCAUAACAGUGACUGGUUAACUAAGGGUGAAAGAAGCUUCAGGUUGUCUAUUGCACAGCCAAACGUAGUGCCUGCAUGGUCCGCACAGUUCGAAAUGUGAAUGAGACUUUGUGUGUGUGUCUGAGAGAGAAAGAGCAUGGGUGGGAAGCCUGGCAGGCUCCUAAAUCUGUCAGAAUGCAGUGUGAUCAUGUCAGCACAUUUAACAGACCACUUGACAGUGGACUGCCAAGUUUGUUCGUAUGUUUACAGAUAUAUAUUCAACUUAUUUACAUUCCUCCAAAUCCCAUCUCUGACUAAAUAUAGAUGGAAUAAAAAAAAAAAAAAAAAAAAAAAAAAAGAGAGACCGCAACAGUAAAAAUUAACACACGGGAAAGAGAGUCUGGUAUCCAAAGCAGUAGGAUUUCAGCCGUCACCAGUACACGUCAAAGCACAGAAACAUCUGUUUCAUUACCCUGCAUUGGAGCUGGAGCAAUUACUUGAGAGAAGUCCCAUCGCAUGGCUAAGGACAGAGUCCAGCUCUCCCACCGGCUGUGCCAAAGCCCUCUCUACUGCCCCGACAGUCGCCCAGGUUUUCUUCUCUGCCAGGAGCUGGAGACCUACUGAGGGAACUGUCUUUGCAGAAUUGCUGCGAGGACCACAGGCCAAAUCUGUUCUAAUGGGAGAGGUAAUGCUCCCCCGUGUCACUUCUGGGAAGGUAAAGGGCCACCCUGGCUCACAUCUGAGCAACAUCUUGAGCAGAGCUAAGAUUCUGCUCACCAUGAGCUACAGAGACAAUGAUCUGUUUUUAAUCUGGUCUCCAUCCUGCUAAUUGAAUGCGCAGGAAUGUAUUACAACUCCCCAGUGCAGGGCUGCGAGGACCCCUGCCUCCUCCCUCAGCAGCCCCCUUCCCUCUCAUGGGAGCAUCCAGCUCCAGCUCAAAACUUCCAGGUGAAACCUCUGCCCAAAACGGAACCCUUCCCCUACCCCUUGUCUUGAUCCAGGACUUACAUGAUUCCCUGGAUCUGUUUCUAAAAUGAGGACUUCUUGCCUCAAAGAAGCUUAGGAGGUGGUCUAAUAGUAGCUUUUAAACAAAAUAGGGGACCUGUGGGGAAUACAUUUGACUUCUGUAAUAUCAUGCCUUUAUUCCUCAGCUCAGCAGAGAUGUACAGACUGGAUGUUCUCCACCUGAGAGAGGAGGUGCUUCAGCGGUUGCCCUUCAUGAUGACUCAGCCUGGAAAGUAGCCAGCCCUUCUCCAUCAAACACACCACAGCCAUGAGGCAAGUUCUCAAGAGAAACAGAAGGGGAAGGAAUGGGAAGCAGCUGUAUGAGAUGGGCUGAAACAGUGAGGAUGAGGGAGGGAAUGAAAGGGAAGACCAAAAUCUUUGUGGUUCUGCUUCCAUUGGGUUUGUGGUCUACAUGAAUUUUCUUUUCCUACACAUCCAGAGUUGUCCAAUGCUGAUGAAGCCAGCACAACAGGUCUGACUUUUCAUUUGGCAGUUUUCUCACACUAAGUCUUACUAACUUACAUGACCAGGGGAAAUGAAUGGGAAAAUUCCUCCUAAUGGCUUUCAUUCCUCUUAAGCUGUGUGUAGCUGGUGUUGCCUCCUCACCCUUGCCUUGCAAGUGAGGGACAUCUACGUUUCAUUUCCUUCCACCAGAAUGCUCCUUCCUCCAGAGCUAACCCUCAAGCACUGGGGAGAUAACAAAAGGUGCAGCUACACGGUCUUUUGAAGGAAAAAGAAGCUAUGCCUUGACUACACAUUGAACCAGAUGGAUGCCAGGUAAAUAUAUUAGAGUGGCAGUGAGCCCAACCUAAUAUAUCCUGCCU
rnacentral:lncRNA from 1 species